rnacentral:rRNA from 1 species
UACGUAGGGACCAAGCGUUGUUCGGAUUUACUGGGCGUAAAGGGCGCGUAGGCGGCUUAACAAGUCACUUGUGAAAUCUCCGGGCUUAACUCGGAACGGCCAAGUGAAACUGUCAAGCUAGAGUGCAGAAGGGGCAAUCGGAAUUCUUGGUGUAGCGGUGAAAUGCGUAGAUAUCAAGAGGAACACCUGAGGUGAAGACGGGUUGCUGGGCUGAUACUGACGCUGAGGCGCGAAAGCCAGGGGAGCAAACGGG